rnacentral:rRNA from 1 species
UGGGCAACCUGCCCCAGACUCAGGGAUAACCCCGGGAAACCGGGGCUAAUACCCGAUACUCCGAUCGAACCACAUGGCUUGAUCGGGAAAGCUCCGACGGUCUGGGAUGGGCCCGCGGCCUAUCAGCUUGUUGGUGGGGUAACGGCCUACCAAGGCGACGACGGGUAGCCGGCCUGAGAGGGCGACCGGCCACACUGGGACUGAGACACGGCCCAGACUCCUACGGGAG